rnacentral:rRNA from 1 species
AUUGAACGCUGGCGGCAUGCCUUACACAUGCAAGUCGAACGGCAGCGGGGGAGAAGCUUGCUUUUCCUGCCGGCGAGUGGCGAACGGGUGAGUAAUACAUCGGAACGUGCCCUGUAGUGGGGGAUAACUAGUCGAAAGAUUAGCUAAUACCGCAUACGACCUGAGGGUGAAAGUGGGGGACCGCAAGGCCUCAUGCUAUAGGAGCGGCCGAUGUCUGAUUAGCUAGUUGGUGGGGUAAAGGCCUACAAAGGCGACGAUCAGUAGCUGGUCUGAGAGGACGAUAAGCCACACUGGGACUGAGACGCGGCCCAGACUCCUACGGGAGGCAGCAGUGGGGAAUUUUGGACAAUGGGCGAAAGCCUGAUCCAGCAAUGCCGCGUGUGUGAAGAAGGCCUUCGGGUUGUAAAGCACUUUUGUCCGGAAAGAAAUGGCUCUGGUUAAUACCUGGGGUCGAUGACGGUACCGGAAGAAUAAGGACCGGCUAACUACGUGCCAGCCGCCGCCGUAA